GCGGGUGUAGCUCAAUGGUUAGAGCCCCAGCCUUCCAAGCUGGUUAUGCGGGUUCGAUUCCCGUCACCCGCU
rnacentral:tRNA from 8 species